AGCCGGUCGAAAGUGCGGGAAGCAGGCAUGGGGAGACAAGAUCGCUCUUCGCCCCUCGGCGACACUCUCUGUCCUGGCCCCGCGCGCAAAGGGCGCCCGGUGGGGCCGACUAGGUCGGCCCGCGACUCCCGGCCCCCAUCCAGGCCCGGCUCAGGCUCCCGGGACCCCCAGAGACCCGACUCCCGCCUCCGCCCCCCGCCGGACCCUCAGCCCAGGUCCAGCCCCGCCCACCUGGCUCUAGGCCGGUGCUUGCGCGGCGCGGCGCCAGGGGCCGGGCGGGCCCAUAGCGGCUCCGCGGCCGGGACCGGCUCCACUCCCGCUCGCUAGGCACCCAGGCCGACUCGGAAACUGGACGAGCCCGUCCCGCCCCUGGACGGCGCCGCGAGGCCCCGCCCCCCCACGGGCCGACCAGCCGACUGCCCGGAGUGAGGCCGGCCCGCCCACUCGCGGCCUCCUCUGGGUCCCGCGCUAACGCGGCCCCGCGCCGCGGGUGCCCCGCCGGGCCCGCGCGCCAAGGUCGCGAGUCUCCACGCCGCGCUUGACCUGGAGGCAGCACCGUACUUGACAGCGUAUUGUCGCCAACACCACCCCACCAGCAUCCCGGCCGAGCGCUGCUCCCGCAAACUUUCUAGACGAACGAGCCGCAUUUCUGUCCCGGGCCAGCCCCGCACCCGAGACCCGAUCAGCUGUCUCGCUUUUAAAACUUUCGUGCGGCGAAGUGUGUCCUAAGAGAAAAAGGAACACCGGCUGCGAGCCUGCGCCUUUAAGAAGGCUUGAAGAGAUGAUCUCAGUUCCCCAACCAGGGACUGAACCCGGGCCCUGGCAGUGAGAGUCCGGAUCCUAACCACUAGGUCACCAGGGAACUCCCAGGGAUUAAUUUUUAAUUGAAGGUGGGCCUCAUCUAAUCAGUUGAAGGCCUGAAUUGAACAAAAAGACUGGCCUCUCCAGGCAAGAGGAAAUUCUCUAGCAACGUCUUUGGACUUUCAUCCGCACCAUCGGCUCUCCUGAAUCUCCAGCCUGCAGGCUCACACUGCAGAUUUUGGACUUACUAGCUUCCAUAGUCAUGUGAGCCAAUCCUUUUUAAUAAAUCUUUUUCUG